rnacentral:rRNA from 1 species
GCCAGACUCCUACGGGAGGCAGCAGUGAGGAAUAUUGGUCAAUGGGCGCGAGCCUGAACCAGCCAAGUCGCGUGAGGGAUGACGGCCCUACGGGUUGUAAACCUCUUUUGUCGGGGAGCAAAUUCCGUUACGUGUAACGGAGUCGAGAGUACCCGAAGAAAAAGCAUCGGCUAACUCCGUGCCAGCAGCCGCGGUAAUACGGAGGAUGCGAGCGUUAUCCGGAUUUAUUGGGUUUAAAGGGUGCGUAGGCGGACGCUUAAGUCAGCGGUAAAAUUGCGGGGCUCAACCUCGUCGAGCCGUUGAAACUGGCAGUCUCGAGUUGGAGAGAAGUAUGCGGAAUGCGCGGUGUAGCGGUGAAAUGCAUAGAUAUCGCGCAGAACUCCGAUUGCGAAGGCAGCGUGCCGGCUCCACACUGACGCUGAGGCACGAAAGCGUGGGUAUCGAACAGGAUUAGAUACCCGCGUACA